AGGGGGAAGGGCCUUUACUUUCCCCCUGAGGGUAGGAAAAUCAUGAUCGGGAUAGCGGACGUAAAGCUAUUGAACUUAGGUAUGCUCUUUCCUUUUGUCGAAGUGGAAUCGUAGAACAGAAUGUGAUACGAUGAGAUAGAAUGCAAUAGAAAUAGAAACAAGAUAGAGAACGGAAGAGCAGACGAGAGAUUCUACCGCGGCCACCCACCAGAACUCUAGCCUUUGUUUUCCUAA